CCAUGAGAGUCGGGAACACCCGAAGUCCGUAGCCUAACCGCAAGGGGGGCGCGGCCGAAGGUGGGUUCGAUAAUUGGGGUGAAGUCGUAACAAGGUAGCCGUAUCGGAAGGUGCGGCUGGAUCACCUCCUUUCUAAGGAGA
rnacentral:rRNA from 1 species